GUCGAGAAUUUUUCACAAUGGGCGCAAGCCUGAUGGAGCGACGCCGCGUGGGGGAUGAAUGGCUUCGGCCCGUAAACCCCUGUCAUUUGCGAACAAAUCCUGCUAUUAAACAAGUAACAGGUUGAUUGUAGCGAAAGAGGAAGAGACGGCUAACUCUGUGCCAGCAGCCGCGGUAAUACAGAGGUCUCAAGCGUUGUUCGGAUUUACUGGGCGUAAAGGGUGCGUAGGUGGCUGGGUAAGUCUAAGGUGAAAUCCCGCAGCUCAACUGCGGAAAUGCCUCGGAUACUGCUUGGCUAGAGGAUUGGAGGGGAGACUGGAAUGCUCGGUGUAGCAGUGAAAUGCGUAGAUAUCGAGCGGAACACCAGUGGCGAAGGCGAGUCUCUGGACAAUUCCUGACGCUGAGGCACGAAAGCCAGGGGAGCAAACGGGAUUAGAAACCCCGGUAGUCC
rnacentral:rRNA from 1 species